rfam:Bacterium CG1_02_42_9 isolate CG1_02_42_9 cg1_0.2_scaffold_3072_c, whole genome shotgun sequence.
CAUUUAUAAAAGAAAAAACCAAAGACAGUAGGUGUUGCUUUUAAAAACAACUUAAUUUCCUACCGAGGUGUCAAAAAAAUCGUCCAAGCGACAUUUUUACUGCAGGCUCUCGGGAAUUAAGAGGGCUUUUUUAUUUAAGGA